AUUGAACGCUGGCGGCAGGCCUAACACAUGCAAGUCGAGCGGGUGAGUGGAGCUUGCUCCAUGAUUCAGCGGCGGACGGGUGAGUAAUGCCUAGGAAUCUGCCUGGUAGUGGGGGACAACGUUUCGAAAGGAACGCUAAUACCGCAUACGUCCUACGGGAGAAAGUGGGGGAUCUUCGGACCUCACGCUCUCAGAUGAGCCUAGGUCGGAUUAGCUAGUGGGUGAGGUAAAGGCUCACCAAGGCGACGAUCCGUAACUGGUCUGAGAGGGUGGUCAGUCACCCUGGAACUGAGAAAAAGUCAAGCAUCCUCUGGGAGGCAGCAGUGGGGAAUAUUGGACAAUGGGCGAAAGCCUGAUCCAGCCAUGCCGCGUGUGUGAAGAAGGUCUUCGGAUUGUAAAGCACUUUAAGUUGGGAGGAAGGGCAGUAAGUGAAUACCUUGCUGUUUUGACGUUACCAACAGAAUAAGCACCGGCUAACUUCGUGCCAGCAGCCGCGGUAACAC
rnacentral:rRNA from 1 species